CUUUUCGAAGAAAAUUCCCGGACAGAGAAAUGUUACAUAACCAAAGGAAGUACUCUUUCUUUCACGUCAUUCUUUGUAUUUUAGUCUAAAUAUUUUCUAUCGUUACAACCCACAUUUGGAUAUUUGUCAAAUUCCGCACACACCUGUGAAUUUCUACCAAACCAGUCAAUGCAUUGCCUGUUUGGAUUAACAUGGCGAUAUGUCAGAAGCAGGUGGAAAUGUUAAAUUUCUAUCCGAAGCGGAUCCCUGUUUUUUGCUGCAGGACUUGUGAUAUAAACCAGCGGUACGCAUCGCCGCGAUUGGAUCGAAAUGAUAAGAUUUACGAUUAUUAGAUGUUGUACAACUCCCUUCGUCUCCCUCUCUCGCAUCGAUCUAAUUUAAAAUCAGAAGUGAAUGACCUGACAACAUUUUCGCCGUGUGUGCCAAAACACCUUUCGAGGUUUUACCAUUUAACGGAGCGACGACAGUCAUCACUAUUUUCAUCACCUCUGAUGGCCGCCAUCUUUUUUGGUUGAUUGGCUAAAACAACAACAAAGUUUCCCUAUUUGGUUUUUAUAUUUCUUGAAAUAAGAAUUGAGUUUGGAUUGUGAUAGGAAGGCUCAAAGAAGGAUAUUCAUGUGCUGCCCUCGAGUGGGGAAUUGCCUGCCUGUUAUUUGUUUUGUCGCCAUUUUGAUCUCGCUGAAAUGAAGGGAAAAACAAAAACGGAAAGAAGGGAAUACUGAUCAGUUAGAGGUCGUGUUAUAAAUAGUUAAUAAAUAAUGAAGUUCUAUUUGAUUUUCAAAAAAGCGAUGGCAUAACCGACAACAAAUUCAUUUUCGAAAAAAAAAUUAAAAUUUUUAAAAUGUUCGAUGUUUUAUUCGAAUGUCGCCAUCAUCGACUAGUUAUACAAUAUUUUUUGUUUGUUUUCUAAUUGUUUUUGUGACCAUUUCCGUUCAAACGUCUUGUACAUAAGAAACAACAUUGUCCACCCUCCUGAUGUUACCCCCUCAUCCUUCCCGAAUGUCUCUAAAAAAACUCGUUUUUGUAUAUAGGACGUGAGAAGAAAUAUUGCAAUUCAAACAGAGGAUUUCUUUCAAUGAAAUCCAUCGCAACUCUGUACUUCUCGAUGCAUGCCAAUUUUUUCUCUCCAUUCCUUAAAGUUUUUUUUUUAUGUUUUGUCUCUUGUUUUUUUUCCGGGAGACAUUAAUGGACACAAAAAUGAACAAUUAUCAACGGACGAAUGCUCAAAUUGCUUCCUUCCAAACGUGAACCCUCGUGCUGCUGUUUUCUUUCCACCAUAUUUUUUUUACAACAUGUCCAUCUGUUUUGACCCUAGUUUUUUCCCUUUUGUUUAU